rnacentral:rRNA from 1 species
AUUGAAUGCUGGCGGCAUGCCUUACACAUGCAAGUCGAACGGCAGCACGGGUGCUUGCACCUGGUGGCGAGUGGCGAACGGGUGAGUAAUACAUCGGAACAUGUCCUGUAGUGGGGGAUAGCCCGGCGAAAGCCGGAUUAAUACCGCAUACGAUCUACGGAUGAAAGCGGGGGACCUUCGGGCCUCGCGCUAUAGGGUUGGCCGAUGGCUGAUUAGCUAGUUGGUGGGGUAAAGGCCUACCAAGGCGACGAUCAGUAGCUGGUCUGAGAGGACGACCAGCCACACUGGGACUGAGACACGGCCCAGACUCCUACGGGAGGCAGCAGUGGGGAAUUUUGGACAAUGGGCGAAAGCCUGAUCCAGCAAUGCCGCGUGUGUGAAGAAGGCCUUCGGGUUGUAAAGCACUUUUGUCCGGAAAGAAAUCCUUAGCUCUAAUACAGUCGGGGGAUGACGGUACCGGAAGAAUAAGCACCGGCUAACUACGUG